rnacentral:rRNA from 1 species
UGGGGAAUUUUGCACAAUGGGGGAAACCCUGAUGCAGCGACGCCGCGUGAUUUAGAAGGCCUUCGGGUUGUAAAAAUCUUUUCUAUGGGAAGAAAAUGACAGUACCAUAGGAAUAAGGACCGGCUAAUUACGUGCCAGCAGCCGCGGUAAUACGUAAGGUCCGAGCGUUGUCCGGAAUCAUUGGGCGUAAAGGGUACGUAGGCGGGUAAGCAAGUUAGAAGUGAAAUCCUGUAGCUCAACUACAGUAAGCUUUUAAAACUUCUCAUCUUGAGAUAUGGAAGGGCCAGUGAAAUUCCUCGUGUAGCGGUGAAAUGCGCAGUUAUUAGGAGGAAUACCGGUUGCGAAUUCGACUUUCUGGCCAUAAUCUGACGCUGAGGUACGAAAGCGUGGGUAGCAAACAGG